rnacentral:rRNA from 1 species
UACAGAGGUGCCGAGCGUUAGGCGGAAUCACUGGGCUUAAAGCGUGUGUAGGCGGAUGCCUAAGUACCUUGUGAAAUCCCACGGCUUAACCGUGGAACUGCUCGGUAUACUGGGUGUCUUGAGCCACUUAGGGGCUACCGGAACAAAUGGUGGAGCGGUGAAAUGCGUAGAUAUCAUUUGGAACGCCAACGGUGAAAACAGCUGGCUGGGGGUGUGCUGACGCUGAGACACGAAAGCCAGGGGAGCGAACGGG